UAUGUAGACAAGGCUAAGGAUUAUCUUCACCAAUACCACUCUUCUCAUUCCACUGCCCAGACCGACACCUCUGGCCACUCAGCCCAAGGUGGUCAUGAUUCAUCAUCAGUUCCAUCUGGAGGUGGUGGUGAUGAAAAGUCUGGAGGUGGCUAUGGAGACUACCUGAAGACGGCUCAAGGUUUCUUGAACAAGUAGUGACUCUUAUCUAAUAGACUCUAGUAUUGUUGAUGAGCUAGGACAAAUAAAUAAUCUGUUCUGUAUGUUUCCUUUUAAUUGUGUCUUUUGUUCUUAUAAACUACAAAUUUGUGUAUUAAUGUGUCAACUUUCCAGAUUGGGCUUGCUUGCUAAAGCUAGCCAUAUCUGUAUAUGUGCGUGCUUAUUGUUAACUAAUGUCAUAUUGUAAUGUUUGGAUCAUUUAACUACUAUAAUCUGCUUCUCUAAAUAAUGAUUUUAUAGAUGUGUGUGUGUGACACUUUAGCUAUAGAAGGUAUUUCUACUGGUUGUGCAUGUAUGUAUGUAUACACACACACACACACACACACCCCUCUCAUAUAUUGAUAUACAUCACGAUCUAUCUCAAGUGCAUUAACUUUCUCCUUGUUUCCUGUAUUGUGGGAAUCUUGUAGAUAUUGAUUCUGAUUUGUAUUCUAAAAUUCUUUUGUGAUUGGAUGGAAUUUCAUUUUAGUGGACCUCGGGCCUCGCGUGUUGGCUUGGUUAGCAGGAAAUAUAAUUAUUAGGAAUAUUUACAAUUUUCAUGGCUCCAAAAUGUCUAAUAACAUUUGGCGACCGAGAUUUCACAGCCAACAUUUCUGUGAACAGACAGGCAAUAUUAAGUCCAGACCCUGUGAGAAAUUAAAACCAGGAAACAUAUCCAAUGCUAAAAAGAAAUCGGUUCCCCGUAGAUUAUGAAACUUUAACCACCUAUAUGAUGUAUACGUCGGUUGCACGGUCAAUGAGUCAAUAGAUCUAUUGAGUUAUACAGCAUCAUUUUUUAUCUUUCUUCUUUUCUUUUGCAUAUAAUUGAGCAAAAAUGAAUUCAUUUUUCACAAGCCAAACAAACAACGUGACAAUCAUCACGUGCACAAUGAACAAUAUUCUUCCCAUGAUGGCAAGUCCAACAUGCACCACAACGAGCACUCUUAUUUCUUCCUAUGGUGAGAUCCAUAUAAGCACCGCAACGAACAUUCUUCCUGUGGAGACUAGCCCUACAAGCACCAAAAUGUAAAUUCUUCCUACAGUGAGCCGUUCAGGAAUCACAAUGUUGAAUGUUCUUCCUAUGGUGACAAGCCCUGCAAGGGCCAUAAUGAACAAUAUCCUUCCUGUAAUGACAAGCCCCCCAAGCCCCAUCAAUAUUCUGAGUAUGACAAAUCAGGCAAACCUGCCAAAAACCAUCAACCAUCCAAUGCUGAGCUCCUUUCUAGCGCCAAAUUGGUUGCUGACGCAGCGAAAGACACGUUGAACAGUGAUCAUGACAAGGUAGACAAGACUAAGGUUGCCCAUGCCGCCGGAGAUCUUCUUAAAGCCGGGUCUCGUUACGGAAAGUGAAGAUGAGACGGGCUAUGGCAAGUUUUUAGGAAGGCUGAGGAUUAUUUGCACAAAUUACAAUAAUAAGCUACUUUCCAAGGAUACCUAUUCGAGCUCUCAUUCUGGCCACUCAGGUCACGGCGAUAAACCCAGCUCUUCAUGAUGAUCAUUAUGGCCACUCUGGCAGCUCUAAGACAAAUCCUAGUGGUGGUCAUAAGGAUUCUGGUGGCGUGUAUGAAGAUUACUUGAAGAUAGCUGAAGGUUUAAUUAGGAAGCAUUGAGUCUUUGAUAUUGUCAUAUAGACUGAUAUUGGAUCAUUCAUCAAGGCUCAAGCGAUGCGCUUGGUUGUUCUUUAUGUAUGAUUAUGUUUGAUAUUUUACUUUUGACAGUUGUUUUUUAUGUAAAGAAGUCAAAGAUACGCAUUCCUUUAAUUAGAAAUAAUAACUGGAUCAUUUAUAUUUUUAUAAAUCUGAUGGAAAUUACAAUCUGAGCAUUUACAGAAUCCUAAAGAAAUAUUUACAUUGGUGAAGUGAUGAUAUUCAGAAGCAGGAACAUGUGGUGGCAGGAAUUUUCCCCGUCGUUCUGAUUUUAUUAGCCUUUUCUUUUGCCUUAAACUCUGCUUUUCUUCGCUUCUCCUGUGCCUGUGCUCUUGCUCCUCCUGCUAUCCGAUCAAUAGAUUCCAUGUCACUGCGAAAUUUUUGCAAGGCUUUUACCCGUCUUUUCUCCAAUUCACCCUGCAUCUCCAAGAAGACAUGGGAGAGAUAUCGCUUAUCAGUUCCUAAGAAUCAGUUUUAAUUAGGACUCACUCGAGGCAACAAGAAACUUACCUCUGCUCUGUCCAAUUUUCUUCUGGCUUUCUUCUUCUUCCUCUCCUCCCAGGAAAGUAUUGUCUCAUUUAACUUCUCAUACCUGACAAUUCUAUCUGUUACUACUUCUAAGUGCUUGCGCAAAUUGCAAAGAACAUGUUGAAGCAAAUGUUUCAGUUACCUCUCCUUGAUCCUGGCCAUCUCAGCCUUCUCCCAGGCAUCUGCUUGAGUUUCAGUUGUUGGAGGCCUUGCUGGAAUCUGUCUUUUUGUUUCAGUUGGUGGGGUAGCAGGCUUAAUGGGGGGAGGAAUAUCAGGUUUUGAUUUUGUCCCUCCGGGGCUUCUCGGGGGCAGAUCAAUUUUCUGCCUAUCUCCUUCAGGUUUUUUGCUGCUGGUUCUGUUCGAGACUUCAUCAGCAAAAGUUGGAGCUUUUUUCAUUGAUGAUGGACUGGGAUCAGUGACCUUGCUUGGUGAUCUUUUAGGUUUUGUACCGUCAGGGCUCUUCUUCAAUAGCUCAUCCCGAAAUGUUGGAGUCUUUUUAAUUGGUGAUGGAUCAAUGGCUUUUUCAGGAGCCCCUUCAUCUUUAGCAGCAGUUACUGGCACUUCCCUAUCCGGACUUGCCAAACUUGUCGUUGCAAUGUCUUCUGUUACAAACAAUUCCAUUAUGUUUGUACUUUCAUUUGACGUAUUUUAAAGUUGUUUCACAAGUUCAGAAUAUUUACCUGAGAACCUUUUUGAUAUUCUACCAGGUUCUGUAAUUGGUAUUGGUGUAUCGUCUUUUUUGCUCUUUUGCCUUCUCAAAGAUGCAUCGGGGCCAUCACUGUUCUUUUUCUGUUCUGACAUAUUUGAGAUUAAUGCAUCUUCCUUUUGGCUUUUGACCCUGCUCAUAGAGGGCUGGGGAGCAACUACACUGGUCUUUCUUUGACCUGGGAUGCGCGAUUCUUCUAUUGAUUUGUUAAUGGCAUAGGCAGCAGCUGCCACCGCAGUUGCAUGGUCCAUUUGGGUGUUGGGAUCAAAUUCCCCGCUCAUUUGCCUAGAAAAUUGUCUCCUUAACCAGUUCCGAGUUCUCUUCUCUGCAAAAUACCAAUCAUAUGUCAAAAGUUUUCAAGUAAAAUUUUUUGAUGAUUUCCUGUGGCUAUAUCAAUUCAUUGUGAUGAACCAUUUUAAAGAUAAGAUGCUACAGGAUGAGAAAUCUAGUGGUACCUCCUUUGAAAUAUUGUGUUUUCUGGAGUAGUAUUCGCCGUUCUUUGAAGCUGAUAGGUUCUUCAGGAUUCUCUUGUCCUACACUAGAAAAUCUUACCCUAACACAAGUGGUCAGUUAUGUUACAAAACGGGCAAUUGCUACAGCUUCUCGAUAGUACAUUAAAAACACCAAAAAAAUUCGUUCUCUUUUCAUCCGUUCAAUCAUAGAAUUUAAUUUCAAUGAAACACAUGCAAAGAUUUGUUUGUGAGUAUUUUCUGAUUCAAGAAAUUAGUUACCUUACCUCACUUGCUUGAUCAAACUAUCCAUCGUUGUUUAUUAAGACCCUUCUCAAAUCUCAACUUUCUUAAGAAUGAUCCGCAUGCCUUACUCAUGGCUUCGGCGUUUAUACAAAGAAGAAGCCCUAAGAGAAGGCUUCACAUUGUUAGUCUUAGGGUAUGGCUAGGCGUGGAGAGGGCGCACGCAAAGUUUGAUGUGCUUUGCAUUCAAGCACUGGUUUGGAUUUUAAAAGGGCUACUGCAUCAAGAAAAGUAUUCUUUCCCCUCUCACCUUUUUACUUUCUUGCAAAUUAUUCUUUGCCUUCACUCUUAGCUUCAAAUAAAAUAAAUACAACCUCUAGCUUAUGCAAUGAAGUUGCUCUCAAGAAGGGUUGAGAAUAAUCUUGAAAAAGAACAAAAUUUAAAUAUAAAUAAGAUUAUAUUUUUGUGCAAUAGAUGGGAUUGAAAUUAAAACGAACAAACGCCUUUAUCCAACAUCAAUGAUAAGAAAUAAAGAAGAAGAAUUGACCACUUUAAUCACUUGAUCCCCCUCAAGCAAUUGAGGAAACUUCUACGGUGCCUAUAUUUUUGGAGUGUCCACAAAUAAAGUAAUAGUAAAGCACGCAACCUAAGACUAAUAAGAAGUUGAAAUUGGACUCUGAAAAUGUUUCUAAGCACAAGCGGGGGCUUUAAAAUCUCUGAGAGUUGCAAAAACAAUAGAAUGAGGAGCAACUGUGAUAGGAGAAUAACGAUCCGCAAGCUUUGGCUCCAUUGAAGGGAUAUCUAAUGAAUUCGUGAGCUUCAAUGGAGUACCAUUAAGUAAUACAACGUCACUUUGAAUAUUUCCACCCUCUGGCGUCAAAUGGUACUCUUCUCUUGGUUUUUCAUCUUGAGAAUCCUGGGUUUGUUCUUGUGAAGGGUACAGAUUCAUAUCAUUGAUAACCGAAACAUCGAAGGAGGUCGAGUUUGACAAGUUGAUCAGAAGUACAGUAAUCCCAGGCUGCAAAAUAAUGUAGCAUUUUUAAUCAUGUUAUAAUAAAAGAAUAACUGCAUGCUGUAUUUGUAAGAUAGAGAAACUUAAUUUACCUUUUCCUUGGAACAAUGAGAAUAUACUCUCAAAUAUGGAGAGGCAUUCUGAGUAGUAGCAAGCACAUUCUUGCCCAUCAGGCGAUGCCACAGAAGAGAACUGGCACAAAAGGCGACACAGAAUGUUAGUGAAAUUUUAAUAACUCAAACUUGUUGAACCACUGAAGCACCCUGCUAAAUAAUUACCCAUAAUAAUCAGGAUUAGGAAUGAAUGUUGUAGUAUUAAGGAGAGCAUAGUUUCCACCAAUCAAAGCUUGUCUGCAGAAAACCUUGUGAUUGAAAGUUGAUGUCAUGCCCAGUUGGUCCAAGAACCUAUUUCAAUAAAAUACCACUUCACUAUGUGUAAAUAAAUACAUGUGUACAAAGGUUUAUAGGCAAAAUGGUUUUUACCAGAAGCCGUCAGCAAAGGUAUGUGACACAUAUUUGCCACCACUGUUGAAAGCUCCACCAGCUUCCCCCACCCAAGCUCCUGACCACGGCCCAAAUUCCUUGACAGUCUCGGAAAUAUCUUUGUAUGUCUGAGCAAUCUGAUCCAAGUAAUACGGAUCCUGAAUCCUGUUAAUAAGUUCAGGAUCAUUUCCUGCAAAUAACAAAGAAUUUUCUUAAGCCAGAACCCAAUAAGAUUCCUAAAAAUUUUCAAGGAAAAAUACAGUAAAUAUGACAAACCUGGUCCAAGGUUAUAGAUAUGGUGCGUUAGUCCAUCGACAACAUCUUGGCCUGAUUUCUCUAGAAAAGUAUUAAACCAUUGCUUAUCAAAAAAGCCAGCAGGUCCCAAUACUUUAGGCUGUGUUGUGGCGUCAGGGUACAUUUCUCUCACAAGAUUUUUGAGUGCCACAAUGUCUUUAGCAUACUGCUCAGCAGAAACUUUAGCAGAUACCCCAGAUGCACAAAGUUCAUUCCCUGAUAAUGAUAAACAUAACAGAAAUUAUAUGCACAACUUUGCAUUAUGCAAAAAAAAAGAUUCUACCAAUUCUGUUACAAUCUUAAUUUUUACCGAGUUCGUAGGAUUCAAUCUUGUAUCCUUUAGAGAUUGUGUACUUCAUCAAAUCUCGAGCAUUUUGUGCGUUCCAAUCACCCUCCCAAAGUGUGUCAUCAGUUUUAGAUUUUUUCCUUCCAAUGAGAGCGUUCAAUCCAAAUGUCAUCACAGCUCUGGAAACAAAUGCAUCUUAGUUAAUUACUGUUCAAUCUUAUACGUGUUUAGAAUAGAAGGAUUUUGAAUUUUUCGUGCAGUAAAUACCCUGUUUGGUUAAAUAAAUCAUUGAUCUCAUCCCAUCUAUUCAUUGAGAGGCAGCCUUUGCUGAAGCCAAACAAACCAUCUUUCCUAAGUUUAAAAUGGGGGCACUUCUUUGCAGAAUUGCCAACUUUGUACAAGACCUGAUCUUGCAAUGAACCUCCAACUCUGAUUCUCAAAGGCUGGAACGCUGAAAACGUUCGCCACAUUUAAAGUAAGAACAAAAACAAAAAUAAAACAAGCUAACAAAGGCUUGGCUAAGCAUAACGCUAUAUUUACCCUUGAUUGCAUUGGAAAGUAUCUUGUUUUUCAAGUCCUGCAAAUAUUUAAAAACCCAGAAAACUAAAUAAGUUUCUGCUUCAUGUAUAUAACAUGGGGAAAAAAGAAAAAAAGAAAAAAAAUACCAGAUUGAGAACGCCAGACUUUCCCCAGGGGCACUGGUUAUAAUCACAUUUGUUAAUUGGCCACCAGUCAAUAGUUGCGCAAACAAAGUUGUCGUCAGUGUUGGCUAUAGAGGUCACUCCUUGAACCGUCACCUUUACAUCUUCUGCUGAAGAAGAAACUGCUGAAAGCAGUAGCAGAAGAAUAGACAAUACUGUCACUUUAGCUAUCAUUAUCACCACAAUGAUCAAGAAUCAAACUGCAAUUAAAAAAAUAAAAUGAUGUGACUGACAUACGUACAAAGACAUUAUAUAUAUACUGCCAGUACAGUGCAUAAAAGUGGUGUAACAGAAGAGUAAUUCUGUUAGAAGUUGAUAACCAAUUCAUCUAAUUUUACUAUACUUUGAACCGAAAAAAUAACCCCAAAAAAUUAGAGAGAGAGAGAGAAAAUCUAAUCUUUUUAGCAUUAUCUAAUUUGUUAGAUGAUUCAUGAUUCUUUCCUUCUUAGUCUCUUGAUGUUAUCUUGUUCUUCUUAGUUGUCUAAUCUUAUCCCAUUCGUAUUUAAGUGGAAGAUAAUUAUAAAGUGUUUUAUAUCUUCUGUUUUUCUUCUAAUUUUUAUUCCAAUUUUAGAUACAAAAUUCAACCAUUUCUGCUUUCAUGUCAAUUAUGAUUAAAUUACUUCUCGCGUACAUCUGGGAUUUUUAUUCCAAUUUAAGAUACAAUUUUUGUUUUUUUAAUAAAAAAAAAUGAUGCUUUAGUCGGAGUCGUCGAACUCAAAACCUUCCAUUUACUAAACGGGUGCUCUAACCAACCGAGCUACGAAAACAAUCUCAGUAUUUAGAACGGAGUGAAGUUCCAUGCUAAUCAAAAGACUCUUGAGUUAGAAAGUUCCAAGGUUUCUUAGCCUUUACACCGGGCUUAGAUGAAUUUUCGUAUAAAUUACAGAAUUAGAUGGAAUAUAUCUAAGUAGCUUUCCAUGACUUUUCUUGAGGAAAUAAAACAAGGAAUCUCGCAUUUCUUUUAAAAUUGGGUGUCUGUAGUCCAUGUAUCUGAAAAUCAAUUAAAAAGACCUAUGAACAUAUGUACAUAUUACAAACUGUGCAAUAUACUCAUUCCACCAGACGUAGAUCAAUGUCAAAAGAUAUGCAUAUUCCCUUUUGAAGCCAUUAAUUUAAAUCAGAAGUAAUCACUAAUCAAAAGAUAUGCAUAUUCUAGCCCAACCUUCCCAGUAGAACCAUUUGUCAAAAGUAAUCACUCAUAAAUUCUGUGCGACUAUAAAUCGCAAGUUGAUUUAGGGAUAUGAGCAAGUCCAGAUGGUAUGCCUCCAGUCAUUUUGUUGCGUGACAGGUAACUACAACCAACGGAGCAAUUGAUUCACAAUGCGAUAGGAAAAAACCAAUCGAAAUUUAAAUUAAAUUAGCAACACAAUGGUUAUGUUCUUUACUCAUAUGUAGUUAUCACCAUAUUAAGCACAAUAUUGUCACUGAACGUCAUCCAUCUCCAUUUUUUGUUCAAAUUUGUUAAGCAUAAACGAACACUGCUUAAUUUAAAUUUGUAAAGUAAUCAUGGAAGUACUUGUCAUCUGUUACUUAAAACAAUAGAUGACAUGUUGUCUCUAUGUUUAUAAAGUAAACGACAUGUCUUUUCAAAAUUCUGUAUAGACGAUUCAUUGUAAAUGAUUACCUCCAAGCAUAUUGUUUACGAUAGUCCUGUUUUUGGGUUAAAAUAUUCGAUGACAUGUCUAUAUUUUUUUUGUAAAUUAGAUGAAAUAUUGAAAUGUCACGACGUUUCAAGCAUCCAAUUAUACCAAAAUUUUCUUUAAAUACACUAGUGAAGUUCUCAUCACAUAUUUUAAUGUGUUUAAGCCAAAAAAUAUAUCAAUUAUACGUAAAUGUAAUUGUUAUUGCUACAUACAUAUGCAUACGUAUAGAUAUGUAUAUAUAUAUAUAUAUAUAUAUAUCAAAAAAUUCAGACGUCACUAUACAUAAGAACAUGAAUAUGAUAUUAUUGCAGAUGUAAAAAAGAUAUAUCUCUUAAACUCAAAAAGCUUGCAAAUUGCAAUUGGCAGAUAGAUCCAAAUUAAUGAAACUCAUGGGUUUCUCUUGAAGCUCACCUCCGUCCAAUAAUACUUGAUCCAGUAGGCCGUACUCGUAAUUAAAACACACUAGCUAGGCUAGAGGGUUCACCAUUUCCAUGCUUGUUUCUGGUUGCUGCCUCCCACAAAACUUUCAAUCUCAAAUGUACAUACCACUCAUGUCAUAGUAAUGAAUACUCUUUAAUUACCACCUAAAGAGCAGGACCCAUUAAUCCCGAAACAAGCAUGGAAAUAGCAACCACUUAAUUUGCAACCAAUUAACCACAGAUAUAAUAUCAAAAACAAAUUGAAGACAUAACACUUAAUUAGACAAUAACACCUAGGUAGAACCUCGUACGUUGAGAAGAGAGAUCAUGACAUCAUAUAUCCUCAGGAAUUCCUGAAAAUUAAGCUGCACCCAAAUGUUUCUCGAACAAGAAAGAUACCAUGAGCAGGAAGAUGAAAGAAAAUGCGUGAAAGAAAUGAUAAGUUAAAGAAGGGGGAUGACCAUCAAUUGUGAAGAGGGUUUGGGCCGGUGGGAACGAGUCUUUUUUCGACGCCGUAUCUGGGAUCAACGAUCUGAUCAUGACCAAGUGGAGGUGGUGGUGGGGAGUAGUGUUGGUGGUGGUUUAUUUGGAGUUGAAUGCACAAAGAACGCGAGUUCUUGUUCAAGAACGUGUCACAAGAAUUGGGAUUCUUUAUGUCGUAGGGCUUGGGAAUGGGAAACCGGGCGGCUGACGACGACGAUGCGAAAGAGAUGAGCAGAAGAAGAAGAAGAGGAAGCAAGACUAUCAUCAUCAAGAAGCGAUGAUGGCCGUGCAUGUGCAUGCCGGAGGGAGAGCUCUGCCUCUGCAUGGCCAUGGCUUUUAUUGAUUAAUUAAUUUUGAUUUCAAUUUCUUGGAAUACGGAGAGGGCGAUGGGAGCGAUUUGUAGUGAAAGAGAUCGAUCGAGGGACGGAUGUAUGUGGAUGAUGGAUUGAUGGUGUUGUGGGAAACUGGCAUAUGCAGAAAGGGACUCACUUUCACUGGUAGUGUGUUUCUAAUAAUGCAAAGAAAGCAGGCAGCAAGGGACUUAUGAAGUUGUUUUAGUCACUGCAUUCACUACAUCUCCUCUCUCUCAUCAAAUGGAUCACGUAUUUUCGUAGGUCUGUAGUAACACUUAGUGCUUUUAAUAUAGCUUUAAGAAAGCUGCGAUUUCUUUUCUUUUCUUUUAUUUAUUUAUUUAUUUAUUUUUUUUUUCCGUUUUGGGGACCUUUUCUGGGUAAAAUUUACGCAAUGGAUGAUCGGACACAUUAACUAUACAAAAUACGUAGUUCCGCAUAUUUUGACUCUUUGAGGUGCUUGUACACAGUAUUUUUAAAUUUAUUUUUUUUGUUAAUGAUUUUAUUAAAGUUUACGUCUUCAAGAUUUUAAAAUUCAAAGUUUUGUUACAUAAUGAUAAGGCCUACGCCACAUUAUUAUUAUUAUUAUUAUUAUUAAUUAUUAUUUACGAUGUUGUGGUAUAAAAUUUAAAUUUACCUUCACCACAAGAGAAAUGGGAUUUUCAUGAAAAAUAAAAUAAAAUAAAAUAAAAUCUGAUCAAUGAAUCUAAUUUGGAACUUGUUUUUUUUGGAUAAGAAUUUGGAACUUAUUUGGACUUAUUUGUCUGAGCCCAUGUGAAUUGGUAUGAGCCCGUGUGAACUGGAUGGGCUAUGGUUUCUAAGGCGAAGUGUUUAGUGACAUUUGCGACAGGUGCGCCUGCCAUCGCAAGAGGCGGCUCAUAUAUGAGACUAUUUUUUUUUUUAAUAAAUUAAUUAACUUAGUUUUAAUUUUUUUAAACUAUCGACUAAUCAAAAUAUAUGUGAAACUGUCACAAUUAUACUUCGACAAGUUAUUUUCUGUAUUUUUUUUUCUGUCAUUGCUUUACCAUAAUGGAUGAAUUAAAAAAUAUAACUAAAUUGAUAAAAACAAAGUUUAAAGGAAAUAAAAUGACACAUCUACUAACUAAAUAAUUAAAAUAGCUUAUUAUCUCGAGUUCUUUCGAAAAGAUUAACACCGAGUUUUGAAUAAUGAUAUAUUUGUACAAAAAUUUUGCACAACAACACUAAAGUCAAAGUAAACAAAAAAAAAUGUCUUAUAAUAAAGAAUAUAUUUUCCUUUAAUGAUUAUGUAUGUGUUAUUUUUUAUAUUAAUCAAUGGUGUUUGAUAAACCAAAUAACUCUCAAAAUGAUGACUUAAAAGUUUAUUAAUUAUCCACAACAAUUGAUAAGAUAUACUCCCUUUAUAUUUAACCAAGUUUAUUUUCUUAGAUUUAUCAAAAAAUAAACUUAUUUUAUUUUUAAAAAAAUGUAAUAUUUCUUCAUCAAUACUCUUAUUCUAAUUUUUUCCCCCUCAACAAUAAACAAACGUUUUUUUAAGACGAACAAUAAGAGUACUUCAUUAAUAAUAAUACGCGGAUGAUUUUUAGAAAUUCGUUCGUUUAUUUGUCAAAGUAAAUCUAUAUACAAGAUUCCCCAAAAAAAAAACUAUAUAUAAGAGAAGUAAAUUUAUAUUUAAUUUCAUAUGAGACCUUUUUUUUUUUUUUUUUUGGUGAGAUUUGAUGAGAUAACAGGAGACAUUUUUCGUUGGCCAAUUUACGAUAAACUCUUUUUUAGUUUAAUUAUUUUUUUGUGGUCCUUGUAAUUGGUCCGUAGUAACGUUAGUUAAAAGUGAAAACAGAAAGCAUAUUCGAAUCUCUAUUUCUUCAAUAUUAUUUUAUCACUCAUUUUCAUUUCAUAUUCUUCUUCUUCUUCUUCAUCCUCCUUCAACAAACAGUUUCUCCUCCACCACCACGACGGAGAUGAAAAUGAUCCCUCUCUUAAUUCUCCUCUUUCUAGCCCCCACCCCAUCUCUAUCCGCACCCACCACGCUCACAGUCACCCCCAAAACCCUUACCAAAUCAGGCGACAGUGUUUCAAUCCAAUGGUCAAACGUCCCCUCCCCUUCAAAGCUCGACUGGCUCGGCAUCUACUCCCCGCCCGACUCGCGCCACGACCAUUUCAUCGGCUACAAGUUCCUCUCCGAAUCACCCACAUGGGCUUCCGGGUCGGGCUCAAUUUCAAUUCCCCUCACCAACCUCCGCUCCUCGUACUCCUUCCGGAUCUUCCGCUGGGCCGACUCCGAAAUCAACCCCAAGAAGCAAGACCACGAUCACAACCCUCUCCCCGGUACGGCCCACUUGUUGGCUAGUGCCGGGUCUGUCGGGUUCGAGACGGGACGGGGCCCCGAGCAGGUGCACUUGGCGUUCACGGAGGAUGCGAGUGAGAUGAGGGUGAUGUUUCUGGCGGAAGAUGGGGAAAAGAGGUAUGUGAAGUACGGUGAGAAGAAGGAUCAGAUGGGACAAGUGGCGGCGACAAGUGUGGAGAGGUAUGAGAGGGAUCAAAUGUGCGAUAAGCCUGCGAAUUCGAGCAUUGGCUGGAGGGAUCCUGGCUGGAUUUUUGAUGCUGUUAUCAAGGGUUUGAAGAAAGGUGUGAGGUAUUAUUAUAAGGUAUUUAAUCAUUUCUUCAUUAUUUGUUGUUUAAAUUUUGUUUUGAUUACUGUGUUAUCGUUGUCAGCUAAUUAGCUUCAUUGCGUGUUUAGCUUUAGUUUGGUAGCUUGAUCAGGUCGCGCCACUUUUGGAAUAAAUCGCUGCUACUAUGAGUAGACGAGCGGCUUCAUUUGCAAUAUUGCAUAAUUUAGCCUGGCUGCUGUGCUAAUAUUAUUUUUCAAGUAAUAAUGAGGCGUGAUUUAUGAGUUGUAACAUCUCGUUUUUUUGGUAGUCUAUGGUUCAAAAACCUGCUCUAAAUGUGCCUCCCGAAGAUUUAUUCACUUAGCAUGAUUGCGAUUUAUAUGCAUGUGAUUAAUCUAUGUAUUAGAUUCUUCCCAGUAUCUGAGUUAGAACAACUAUGCUUUGUUGUUGCAGGUUGGGAGUGACUCUAAAGGUUGGAGUGAGACUCAUAGCUUUGUGUCUCGGAAUGAAGACUCAAAUGAAACUAUAGCUUUCCUAUUUGGAGAUAUGGGGGCUGCAACACCAUAUACAACAUUUGAACGUACACAGGAUGAAAGUAUAUCAACCAUGAAGUGGAUCCUUCGCGAUAUCGAAGCUCUUGGUGACAAACCUGCUUUUGUUUCGCAUAUUGGAGAUAUCAGCUAUGCAAGGGGAUACUCAUGGUUGUGGGACGAGUUUUUCGCACUUAUUGAGCCUGUUGCUUCCAGAGUAGCAUAUCAUGUCUGCAUUGGCAAUCAUGAGUAUGAUUGGCCGUUGCAGCCUUGGAAUCCUGAUUGGUCAUACACAGUUUAUGGGACCGAUGGUGGUGGUGAAUGUGGAGUACCCUACAGCCUUAAAUUUCACAUGCCUGGGAACUCAUUAGAGCCAACUGGAACCCGUGCUCCAGCCACUCGAAAUCUCUAUUACUCAUUUGAUAUGGGGGUGGUACAUUUUGUUUACAUAUCAACCGAGACCAAUUUCCUUCGGGGAAGUAACCAAUAUAACUUCAUAAAGCAUGAUCUAGAGUCAGUUGAUCGGAAGAAGACCCCAUUUGUUGUAGUCCAAGGGCACAGGCCAAUGUACACUACAAGCAAUGAAAACAGAGAUGCCCCGUUGAGGAAUAGAAUGCUUGAGCACUUGGAACCUUUGUUUGUGGAAAACAAUGUGACUCUUGCAUUAUGGGGUCAUGUCCAUAGAUAUGAGAGGUUCUGCCCACUGAAUAAUUUCACAUGUGGAAGCAUGGGCAUGGAUGGGGAGCACUCAGAGGCAUUUCUGGUUCAUAUUGUGAUCGGGAUGGCUGGACAAGACUGGCAGCCGAUAUGGCAACCUAGACCAGACCACCCAGAUGAUCCAGUCUUCCCUCAGCCUAUGCGAUCUUUGUACCGUGGGGGUGAAUUUGGAUAUACGAGGUUGGUUGCCACAAAGGAGAAGCUCACACUUUCUUAUGUAGGGAAUCAUGACGGAGAGGUGCAUGAUAUGGUUGAGAUCCUUGCAUCUGGACAGGUUCUCAGUGGUGAUGUUACUGCGAGUGUCAAGGAAAGUGAAACUACCAGUGGUAGUGGUAGUGGGUCUGGUUCUGGACCUAGAGGUGAGUUAACCAAGUCUACUUUUUCAUGGUUUGUCCAGGGAGCAAGUAUCUUGGUGCUGGGGGCUUUUGUGGGCUAUGUCAUUGGCUACAUUUCACACACCAAGAAGGCAGCUACAUCAGGAAGGAGCUGGACUCCUGUUAAGACUAACGAAGAUGCAUGAACUAUAAAUAGCAGUGAUAAUAUUUUGCUAGAAAUUGCAAAUGAUUGUGUUUUUUAAUUUUCGAAACUUGUUUCCUCCAUGGGAUUAGGUUUUGAACUUUCGAAGCAAUGGUAUUCUACUUCUUGGCCUGCAAUUUGGCUAUGGCCAAAAUUGCAGGCCACAUGUACAAGUUUUUGUAAAUACGAAAGUUAUCAACAUAUUUAUUGUGAAAUAAAAAUACUAGACGAGGUGUUUCACUUAGUAUAUAGAAUUGAGUUUUUGAGUUGUGUUGUAAUGCUCGGAUGAAUGUGUUUGAUAUCUCGUAUUAUUUCAACCUUAGUAUUUUUAGCUUAUGUAUAGCGUACAUUUUGUUGGAAACUCUAGUGAAAGAGGGCUACUGAGGCUGUCUCAUUGUUUUAGGAUUUUUGAAGGAUCAUUUGUCAUAAGCCUAUUAAAAGCUACGUGACAGUAAUCUGUUUCUUUCCAUUUCUUGAGUAGCCAACUUUCAAAUCAGAAUGGGGUUAUUUUAACUUAAAAUUUUGACAUAAAUUUUGAGCUAUUGAUUUCUAGUAAUCUAAUGAUAAAUAUUGAAUAUCAAAGUAGCAUCUAAUGAUGAUUGUUGAUCCAUCUUUAGAUUUCUUGAAUGGAGUUAUUUUAACUUAAAAAUUUGACAUAAAUUUUGAGCUAUUGAUUUCUAAUAAUUCAAUUAUAGAUAUUGAAUAUUAAAGUAACAUCUAAUGAUGAUUAUUAAUCCAUCUUUAGAUUUCUUAAAAUUUUAAUGAAAAAAAUUUCUGCAAACAAUAUAUCAUGCAAGCCAUUAGAUUAACGUAUCAUCAAAUUGAUCAUUUGAUUAAAAAAGAAAAAAGUAAUUUUGCGGCUUUACAUGGUUCGCUGAACGAUUUGUUUCAUUGUAUCUAUUUGAAAGUAUACAAGAACACAAAAAGAAUUCAAAAAAUGAUAUUCAUCCCAUCAUUAAAUCCCCACGUGAACAAAAAUGAAGAAGAUAACAAUUGCAUAUAUUACGCAUAAGAUUAAGAAGGGAGAUUAAAGAAUCCAAUAGUGUGAGGUGAAAAGAUUGAAUCAAAAGGAGGGAGGAAAAAGGCCAUUGGAGCGAUUAUAGGAAAGUUCAUGGUGUUGGUAUACGCAGAAAUCCAUGGUGAUUUUACUUUCCAAGCAAAUGGCGUGCACGCUGGUUCGCACCUUUAACCCGAGAGUUGAGCUCAUCCACAUCCGCGUCAAGAUGAUCCAGAGAUUUGUUUUGCCUACAUUUUAUAGAGAUUAUUAGAAUAGAGACUGAGACACUGAGUGUGUGUAUGUGCAUUUGUUAGAAUUUGGUACAAAGCAACUAACCUGUCAAGUUCACUCCCCAUAUCGACUGCCAUGCCCUUUAGAUCACCCAAGAUAUUACUUAGAUCUGAAAGUGCAUCAUCUUGUUCGGCUUUCUCCAUCUGGUUUUGAUAACACGUAAAUAAAUGCCAGUCUGAUAAGUCAAAGCCAUUAAAACGUGUACACAAGUGAUCCACAACAUUUGCAUAGCACUAACCUCAACUUUCUGCAUUGCAUUUGCUGGUUCAGGAGGGGGUGUUCGACCAGCUGAGCGUGGCUUGGGUACAGGUGCUACGCCCAAUUUUUCCCUCUCCCCUUUGUUUACACCUUUUUUGGACGAAUGAUCUGCCAAGCCAACAAAGUUAACCACAAUUUUCAUGUUUCAUCGAAAUGGAGUUAUGCAAGUAAAUGAAAAAGAAGAAAUUUGUAUUGUAUUAGAAGAAAACCUGGUGUGUCUAAAGGCCCUGCAAUAUUUCGGGUCUUCUUCGGCUUCCACGUCUUUGAGAACAUGCCCCCAAGAUUAUUUAACUGCUUCUCACCCUGGCAUUGAGAAAUCAAUUAUGAUAACAACACACUGAAGCCAAAACAAAAGAAGAGCACCAUAUAAUGAGCUUAAUUACCUUACUCAAAUCUUUCUCUGUAUCAGCAACCAUAUUGUGAGUCCUAUGGAUUUGCUCUCCCUGCUGAUGCAACAUGUCGAGUGUCUUUGUAGCGUCCUCUCUGAUAUUCUCAGCAAUCUUCAGGCAAUUAUUGACGCUGUUUGUUGUUUCCUCAGCCUUGUAGACGGCGUAAUUCUCCAAUUCCUGCACACUUUGGUUCUCUAAUCCUCCUGAAUCGCGGAAAUCAUUCUUGUAAUGGUCUCUUCCCUUGUGAUCGUUGCUGAAGUCCGGCGUUAUAAGCACAGGCUCGGAAGAAGUUCUUCUUGCAGGCUUUAUAGCUGCCUUCUUAUCACAUUCAUCGUCUGAAGCCGCUACUGGGUUUACUUUCUUCUGCUUUGGCUUUGCAGGUGAUCUAAAGAAAUCGAACAUUUUGAUUGUAUCUAUCAACUAAACAACCAGAAACGAUUGCUGGUCUCCAAAGUACCGAAAGCCAAGCCAAUUACUUGAUCCCGGUAGAAGAGAGCCUAAGAAAAAAUAAGCAAUCUCAAUCGGUUGCAGUCACAGAAUUGAUAAUAUAUCACUGCUGCAUCAUCCGCCAAUCUUACAUGAAUCAUAACGAAAAAAAGUAGCAACAAAUAUCAUCCAACACCAGCCCCAACAAUCUGGAAAUAAUGAUCAAUUAACCGGUGACUAAUGCAUAUAAUUCAAUAACUAUGAUAAAACCAUAAAUCAAACAUCAAAAGCAUAUGGAAAUUGGGGUACCAACACGGAGCAAGUUUCCCAUCACGUAGUGGGCAAUUGGACAAUGGACAUGUGACACAAUUAUUUAAAAAAAGAAAAAUUUAGAUUAAACAGAUGGUGGCACGUGGCAAUACGGGCAAAGACAGACACGUCAAUUAACACCAACCACCAUGUUUGAUAACGUAACUACACUGUCCCAAAAAUGAUUAUGAUUGUAGAAAAUGAAAAGGUAGACGCUUAACAACAAAUGGGCACCUGAAAUUCAUUCUUUUCAAAGAAUCGGAGGAAAAAAAUAAUUGGGAUUGUAUUUCUGAGAAGAAGCUUCGUACACAAACCGCAAAUGGGUUGUGCGGAAACGAGAGAAGCGGGAAACAAUUUAACACUUUGGUAAAUUUUGUUUACUUUAUAUGCGAUUUUUCUCAAUUUAUCCCUUUGAAGAAAUCAAACAGAUGAGAGGCACGGCGUAAAAGAAGAGAGUUAAGAGUGACAGACAGCUUUUGUAGAACUUUUUUUGACCGUUGGGUUAUUUUCAGGCUUUUUUUUGGGGGGGGGUGGGAUAGCUUUGGGCCCAAUUUGUGGAUCUGGCAACGUGAUCCAAA
rnacentral:lncRNA from 1 species